rnacentral:tRNA from 1 species
GCGGGUGUGGCGGAACUGGUAGACGCGCUGGAUUUAGGUUCCAGUGUUGAAAGACGUGGGGGUUCGAGUCCCUCCACCCGCACCA